ACUGUUAGAUGUCGCUGUAGAUUUAGCAGCACUGUACUGUAAAAAUCCACAGUACUAUACUGUAUGUGUACAUUACAGUACAGUACUGCAGUUCAUAAUGCAUUCUGGGUAAAUUUGUUUGAGCGGGAACAUUUUACAGUAUAUUUUGGUCUUGAUGUAACCUUGCUGUAGCCAUUGCUGUAAUGUGCCAGGUGUACUUGCAAUAAUCAGAGAAAGUGCGCCAACGUCAAAUCACACAGACAGAGGGAGCGCACAACUCUUGGCUGCAGCUGAAGGAGGACGAUUGAUUUCUGUCAGUUCGUCUUACCAUUGCUUGUAAGUCGGAUUGGGUAAGAUGGAUCAUCUUUAAAGGCACCAGGAGUUAAGGCAGAUGUGGAGGCACAACGGGUGACACCAGACACACACCAAGCACAUUGUUCGGACAUUCAAUCAUGACAUGAUCCAUGUGGAUGCUGUCCAUUGAGGAAAGAGUUUGUUCAGCGGUAAGUGAAUCUUCUGUAUUUUAAUGUAAUUAGGUGUGGAACAGUAGAAUAAGAGCAAAAGGUUUCAGAAUAGGAGUAAAUUCAAGGCUGAGUUUAGUUUUUUAAGAAUCUUUUUCUAUCUUAUAUUUGUUGACUUAAUGUUUAUGAUAUUUCUAACAGGUUUCUGGAUAGAAUUAAUUCCAAAGAUGGGAAAAAGUGCACAUCCAGACAAGGAGCAAGCAAAAAGACAAGGAACUUGGUGCAGAGAAAAGCUGUGGCCAUUAACCCCCAUGUGAACAGCUUCAUGCAGUCCCUGAUUGAGUUCGAAUGGACGACUUCAAAGUAAAGGCCACUGUGGUCUGUCUGCCACAGUUUAAUGCAUUUAUUUUUAGUGUUAAAUGAAAUUCAAGUAGAAUAUUUAAAACUAUGGGCCAGUGUUCUUUUUACCACAGUGAAAUGUUACCUUUUAGUCGAUGAUGGACUUUAAACUGAAAACUUCAAACUAUGGAAGAGUGUUCUAUUUGCCAGAGUUAAAUAUGUUACAGCAGGGGUCUCCAAACUUGUUUAUACUUGUUGAUUUUAUUUUAUGUUACUUGAUUAUAUGUUUAUUAUUGUUUAAAAUCUUGUUUUAAAUA